GUAAUUGUUAGAUUUCUAACUUUGAAUCAUUAUCUGGUCAAAGAACAGUUUCAGGCGGGCAGUUUGACUGGGGCGGUCGCCUCCUAAACGGUAACGGAGGCGUACAAAGGUUUCCUCUGAACGGUUAGAAAUCGUAUCUAGAGUGUAAAGGCAUAAGGAAGCUUGACUGUGAGACCUACAAGUCGAGCAGGGACGAAAGUCGGUCUUAGUGAUCUGACGGUACUGAGUGGAAAGGCCGUCACUCAACGGAUAAAAGUUACUCUAGGGAUAAC
rnacentral:rRNA from 1 species